rnacentral:rRNA from 1 species
UACGUAGGGGGCUAGCGUUGUCCGGAAUCAUUGGGCGUAAAGAGCGCGUAGGCGGCCAGACAAGUCCGGUGUGAAAGUCACAGGCUCAACCUGUGAAUGCCGCUGGAAACUGUCUGGCUAGAGUCCGGAAGGGGCGAGUGGAACUCCUGGUGUAGCGGUGGAAUGCGCAGAUAUCAGGAAGAACACCAACGGCGAAGGCAGCUCGCUGGGACGGUACUGACGCUGAGACGCGAAAGCGUGGGGAGCGAACAGG